GCCAUGGCGACCCUCUCUGCCACGUUCCGGGCUGUCUGCAGGAAGCGAGCGUGGUCGUUCUCCUUCAGGAUGUGCUCUGCCUGGUUGAUGAGGACCGUGGAGCGCUCGAGGCACUGCCGGCAGUUGGCGACCUGCUGGGCCAGCUUCCUCAGCUUCAUCACCUUCGUCUCCUUGAUCUUGACGGCGAUGACCUGCUUACGCUGGCGGAUGAUCU
rnacentral:lncRNA from 1 species